CCCAACUCCAACACUAUGAUCUUAUGACCUUGUGUUCCUAUAUAAUAGUAAUAACUCUGUUAUAUAUUUCUCAUCAUUUGCUGCCUUACUAUAAUUUAUUAAUGGGGCAUGGUGUUUGGGGUGGGCCUGGUCCAGAUAGAAUCACACAGACACAUACCUACUUUUUACUGAAGUCCUACUUUGAGGCCUUACCAGGGGGUAGAGAUGACCCUUGUCUUUUAUUUUCCCUUGACUGCUAUGCACAGCCAGCUGGCAUGUCUACCACAGUAGAAUGGCUUUGACUCCACACCUGGCAACAGAUUUCAUCUCUCUUGUCAAAUACUAGUGGACUUUAGGGUGGCUCAUUGCUAGAAGGUUGGCUGGAGGGGGGUGGAUUUUUUUGGCUAUAACAGAGGAUGAUCAGAUUUAGAGCUGGAAGGGAUCUUAAGAAGAGAUCAUUUGGUCUAUCCUCCUCAUUUUUGCAGAUGAGGAAGCUGAAACUCAGCAUGGUUACUUGUACCCAGAAUAUAUUGAAGUAUCUCUGCUCUUUGGGAUCUCUCUCUCUCUCUCUCUCUCUCUCUCUCUCUCUCUCUCUCUCUCUCUCUCUCUCUCUCUCUCUCUCUCUCUCUCUCUCUCUCUCUUCCUCCCUUCCUCUCUUUUCUUCCCUUCCUUUCUAUCUUUCUCUCUCUCCCCCUUCCUUCCUUCCUUCCUUUCUUUCUUUCUCUCUCUCUCUCUCUCUCUCUCUUUCUUUCUUUCUUUCUUUCUUUCUUUCUUUCUUUCUUUCUUUCUUUCUUUCUUUCUUUCUUUCUUUCUUUCUUUCUUUCUUUCUUUCUUUCUUUCUUUCUUUCUUUCUCUCUUUCCAUCUUUCUUUCUUUCUUUCCAUCUUUCUUUCUUUCUUUCUUUCCAUCUUUCUUUCUUUCCAUCUUUCUUUCUUUUUCUUUCCCUUACUUUCUGUCUUAGUAACAACUCUAAAACAGAAGGGCAAGGGGUAGGCAAAUGGGGUUAUGUGACUUGUCCAGGAUCACAUAGCUAGAAAUGUUUGAAGUCAAAUCUGAACCUAUGCUCUCUUGACUCUAGACCUGGCACUGUAU
rnacentral:lncRNA from 1 species